rnacentral:lncRNA from 1 species
UGUAUUAAUAAUGAUUUAUGUAUUUGUUUAAAAAAAUUGGAUUUUAGAUUACCAAGAAAUAACAUUUGCGCCAAGACACCAAUAUAUGUGUUAAUUACUCCUUAAGACUAUAUUUUCUUCACCGGCAUACGUAACUUAAUCAUUUAUCUUCUUUAUUAGGAGUUUGAUGUCAAAAAUAACUUAAAUAGUUUUGAAUUGAUCUUCUUUUGUUUGUUAAAACUUAGGUAAUAUUGUUUAAAACAUGAAUUAGUAUUCUACAAAUUAUAUUGAAAUAGGUUUCGUGGCAUAUUAACAAGAUGUUUUUUUUUUUUUGGUUUAAAUCACUUGGAAAAAGUCAUCCAAUAGCUUUGUACAUCCCCCCUGUCUCUCACACACAGACACACACAUACACAUACACACACACACACAUUUCGGACGGUAUUAAGUAAUGGUUUGUUUAAGUAUCACAACUCCCACAAACAUAAUUUUAAUUCAAAAUCAAGAUCUAAAGGCAUAAUAAUUAUUGGUAUAUCAUGACUUAUAUCCAUUGUCAAGCAAUAUUAAUAGGAUAAGUAUGCAUUUCAUGCAGAAAAGUCUAAUUAUAUUGAGAUUUUUUUUGAUAAAGUCGUAAAUCUUUUUUUAAUAGAAUAAACCUGAUUGUUUAACAUUUUACCCAAAUUAAGGAAAAAGUUUUUUUUAAUUGGGAAAGACAGAUUAUAUGAUUUUCCCAAAAUAACGAGACUUUUUUGUUAAAAAAAAAAGAUUUAUGAAUUUAUCAAAAAAAAAAAAAUCCAAAAUAAUGANUGAAUUUAUCAAAAAAAAAUUCCAAAAUAAUGAGACUUUUUAGUAUAAAACUCGGGAAAAUAUUUGUUCAUUUAAGUAUCACCACCCCAAAGGCACAAGUGUAAUACAAAAUUUAGGUAAAAAAUCUUGAGAUUUAAUGAUAUAUCAUGACCUAUAUCCCUUAUCAACUAAUAUUAAUAUUCCUCUCGUCGAUGAUUUGCGAUCAAAAAGUGGUUUGAAUACAUAUAAAAGGAUUCACAUAUGUUGACGUGACUUGUGUGUUUGAUAGACAAAGUAUUUAUAACAUUAAGAAAAGAUAGACAAAAGGUAAGAAAACACAUAAAAAUACCUUACAUAUAUUACCAUAUUUAUUGAUAAAAAGGAAAUGCAUCAAUUUUCCCACUUCGUCCAACAAUACUGAGUUGAAGUUACCCACGGUACAACAUUACUAAUAGGUUGUUUCAUGCAAAAUGGUUGCUACCUGUAUCUUUAUUUUCAUUUCACUAUUUAAACUUCACAUUUUCUAAAGGUAAGUAACGCAGCAGAGAGAAAUAUCAUUUUAUCUCGAAAGGGAUAAUUAUUUGUUCAGGAACCCAACAUAGUUAUUUUUCAACAGCAACGGGAGAGAACUCUAGGUUGGUUGAAGAGUUGAGUGAUGAAAUUCUUUGAGACUGCUUGGCAAUUAUUGCAGCAGUGGAGGGGUUUUGGUCCAAGACAACUUGGUACCCAUCACCCCAGUUAUCCAUUCCUUCCGCCAUGACUUGCCAAAAAGUUGUACCUGAACACGACCCCCGGUUUCUUGCACUUUCAUAGGCCGUGUUGAAUAUCCCACCAAAGUACUCAUCCCUUGCUUCUACGGUGUAACCUGAAGACCAAGAGGACUUGCCAAAUUCUGCAAUCAGUAAAGGUUUUCUCAAGAUGGAAUCACAAUCCUCAAUAUGUGCAUUAAUCCAUUUUUCAACAAAUUUAGCUCGAGCUUCAUCGCUAGCUCCCGGAACCCUAAGUCAAAAAUCGAAAUACCCACAUAUGUUAUUCAAUAAAAUUAAAUAACAUAAAAUAUUGUUUUAGUUAUAAAUAAGAAACAUGCAUUUCAUGAAACAUUUUUAGGAUGCUAACUACGUUCGGGUGUUGGCUAGCGUGACAUGCAAAGUAUAUAUACGAACAAAAGCAUUGUGAUGGAGUUUAUAUGUCGGUAUAGACUCGAUCAUACCAUUGGUCGGGAUACAGAUGGAUUGUAGCAAAAUCCACAUUGUUGACGCCGUUGUUUGUAAUGAAGUCGGUCCCUACUUCAUAGCCCGGAUUGUUUUGCUUCUUUUCAGGCAUUGAUUCCCCAUAAAACCCUUCAAGUCCGAUUUCGAGAAGAUGGUUCUUAUCAAUGGACUUUAUUUCAGCUGCCAUUUCUACUAUCCAUUCCUGCACAAAGAAGAGAUACCGAUGGUUAUAGGUUAUGCACCAUAUAGUUUCAUAAAAAACCGGUUUCCUCUAUGUACUCCUAUCAUUUGAAAGUAAAAGAUUUCCUUCUUUCUAGAUAACUGAUUCGGGCAUUUUCUCAUAUGAACAACUUAACCGUGAGAAAACAGAGAAAACAAGAACCUGUAGAAAUUUCCCUGAUAGAUCAGACUGGCAGCGAGGUUCGUUCAUUAGCUCCCAUGCAAAGAUGGUGAAAUCAUCCUUGUAGUCAACCCCGGUGAUUGAGUUGCGUCUCGUAAGAAUGGUCUGUAGCAAAACAGUAUUUGCAACAUGUUCAAAUUUUCUGACAAAAUGCACAUACAGCUGUUGUAGAAAAUUUUUGUGAUAUAAUGGAAACAUUGUUUCCCAAACAUAUAUAUAUAUAUAUUCAAAUGAUUCUUAUAAUAUCCUUUAACUACAACGUUAGUAAAGAAAUCAUCAUCACUAUUCAAGUAUUGUCCUCCAUGAUCCCUUGCCCACUGAACAUAUUGUUUUUUACCUCCAAAAUCAUCCCAGUUAUUAACCAAGCUGAGAAUCAAGUGAAUCCCAUACUUUUUCGCUUCUGAUAUCACAAAAUCCAAUCCCUGGAAUGAAAAGGUGUAGAUGGUUAUCACAAGUAACAUAAAACAGAGGUGUUAAAGUGUUUGUGAUCUUGAUUAUUACUAACUUUUAUUUCAAUAUGUCCGUGUCGAUUUGUCGUAUGGUUGAUAAGAAAUUACUUUUUAACGUUUACAGAUCAUGUUGAAUAAAAAAUAGAGGCUAAAAUAAUAGAUAAAGUUACCUUAAACAUGUCCUCAUUGUAAAAACCGGGAGAGGUUUGCAGGGGUUUGUUGCCACCAUCACUAAAAGCCCAAGUCCUAACCAGGUUCAUUCCUAUCUUGGAAGAUUCUUGAAAUGCAUCUGUGACCUUUGUUAGUCAAUGUUGACCAUGUAAUCUGGAGAAUAAAAGGGACGCGUGGGAGUGUUGCCAAGUAAAAGAACGUUGCUGAUUUAUCUGCUUUCAGUUUUAUUUUAGUGUAUUUUAAAGUUCAGUUGUUAGCUAUUUUGAAUGAAACUUUUCCAGCUUUCAAUCAUUCAAUAAACAAGCAUUUGGCUACUCUGUCUCCCUUCUUUUCUUCUCGUUUUGAUUUGCUAAUUUGCCAACAAUUGGUAUCAGAGCUUCAAGGUUCUGAUUAAGGUGUAUGCCAAAGUAUAUCAGAUACACUACCAUGACAGGAUCAUCAUCAUCCAAUCCACCCAAAGACAAUCCGUUCCCUUUUCAAUGCCCAAUGCUAACCUCGCAGAAUUAUAAUACCUGGUCAAUUAAGAUGGAAGCCAUCAUGGAUGCCCAUGGAUUGUGGGAUGCCAUUGAGCCACCAACCGGAGUGGAGGUGGACGAUAAAAGGAGCAAGCAGGCUCGAGCCUUCAUCUUCCAAUCAAUUCCAGAAGAGAUGCUUGCACAGGCUGCCAAGAAGAAGACAGCUAGAGAAGUGUGGGACUCUCUAAAGUCACGGUAUGUGGGUGCAGAAAGAGUCCAGAAAGCAAGGCUAAGGGUAUUGAAAAGCGAGUUUGAAGGUCUCCAAAUGAAGGAUACGGAAACCAUUGAUGAUUAUGCAGGAAGAAUAUCAGCCAUGAUCUCAAAAUACAGCAGUGCAGGAGCAACAUUAGAUGAUGAAGAACUGGUGAGAAAAUUGUUUGAUACGGUCCCUGAAAGGUUCAUAAACCUGGUGGCAUCGAUUGAACAAAGCUCAGACAUGGAAUCCAUGCCAUUUGAAGAGGCGAUUGGGCAUCUAAAGGCAUAUGAAGAUCGACUUCGACUCCGGAAGACAAGCACACAAGCAGAUAAUGCCUUGUUACUUGCCAAAACGGAAGGCUCUUCUACUCAUCGAAGUCCAAGAAAGUCAAACACGACAGGUGGUCGUGGAAGAGGAAGAAAUAGUGACAGGGGAGGAAGAGGCAAUUCACGUGGUCGCGGUUCGACGCGUGGCAGAGGUGGACGCUGGGGUGGUGGUUCACGACAAGAAGCUGGGAAUUUCAACCGGAAGCCUCGUGACAAAAGUCAUAUACAAUGCUUUGAGUGCCAAGAAUUUGGCCAUUUUGCUUCUGAGUGCAAAGCAAAGAAGCAACAGGAACAAGAGGCGAAUUUAGUUGAAGACGAAGAUGGACCUGCACUCCUGUUAACCAUACAUGGGGAAGAAACUACAAGCAUGGUUCUUUUAAAUGAGGAAAAGGUGUACCCGAACCAACUAAGUGACAGCAAUGAUAAUGAUAUGUGGUAUCUGGAUAAUGGGGCUAGUAACCACAUGACUGGUUCUAAGGCCUUAUUUGCAGAGCUUGAUGAAAAGGUGACCGGACAGGUACGAUUUGGAGAUGGUUCUAAGGUUCAAAUAAAAGGGAAAGGCACAUUACUGUUUGAUUGUAAAANAAACAUAACUCGCUUUGCUUGUGUACGAGGUGUUCUCUGUUAUAAUAAAACAACGGAUGUUUGGGUUUCCAAAACCUAUCAUAAUAUGCAAUGUAACUGCUUAGAAGGAAAUUCGAUAGAUCUUAAACCUAUACUUUUAGAAGACUAGCGAGGAAACACUCCCUUAUCAUUUAUGUGUUCGUGCAUCGAUACUAAGUAGAGUAUGAUUACUCAUUAAUUAAAGUUUAUUGAGACUACACUUGUACACAUUACAUAUAUUAUAAAUCUUUGGUGAUAAAUGCUAGAUGUUUAUAAAAAUGACCCUCACCUUAUAUUAAUUAAUUUAAUCGAUAUUAUUGUUAAUUAUAAAGAAAAUUAUGAAAAUUAUAAAUAUAAAAUUAAACAAACAAUUGUUAGGUUUAAGACUGCAUGCCUAAGAUAAACAUUGCACCAGAAUGUCUACCCAAUAUUGAUAAAGUAUAUUUGAAAGGUAUGACUAAAAAGUUUACAGUCGCUUGAGGGCCUAAGGCUUACAAUGCACCAAAAUUUAUUCCCAAUAUUGAUAAAGGAUAUUUCAAAGGUACGACUAAACCUUAAGUUUAUAGUUGCUGAUAUAACCUUGCGAUCGAAAAUAAAGCAGGAAUUUUUGAACUCCAAUUAAUUUGAGUUCCCCAUUAUAUAUUCUUGUAGACAAAUGAGAAAUAAUCAGUUUAGUUCUUCUACGAGCCCAGUUGUAUUAAUCAAUGAUUUUACUUAUUAUAUUGAGAUAACAACCUCAUAAUUGGAAAGGUUUCAUGAAAAAUCAUCAUCACAAUUCUGAGUUUGCUGACAUAAAUAUUCAUAUUAUAGAUUACAAUAAAAGUAACAUUUCUGCCAAGACCCUAAUAUAUGUGUAUUAAUAAUGAUUUAUGUAUUUGUUUAAAAAAAUUGGAUUUUAGAUUACCAAGAAAUAACAUUUGCGCCAAGACACCAAUAUAUGUGUUAAUUACUCCUUAAGACUAUAUUUUCUUCACCGGCAUACGUAACUUAAUCAUUUAUCUUCUUUAUUAGGAGUUUGAUGUCAAAAAUAACUUAAAUAGUUUUGAAUUGAUCUUCUUUUGUUUGUUAAAACUUAGGUAAUAUUGUUUAAAAUAUGAAUUAGUAUUCUACAAAUUAUAUUGAAAUAGGUUUAGUGGCAUAUUAACAAGAUGUUUUUUUUUUUUUUUUUUUAAAUCACUUGGAAAAAGUCAUCCAAUAGCUUUGUAGAUUCCCCCCUGUCUCCUCUCACACACAGACACACACAUACACAUACACACACACAUUUCGGUCGGUAUUAAGUAAUGGUUUGUUUAAGUAUCACAACUCCCACAAACAUAAUUUUAAUUCAAAAUAAAGAUCUAAAGGCAUAAUAAUCAUUGGUAUAUCAUGACUUAUAUCCUUUGUCAAGCAAUAUUAAUAGGAUAAGUAUGCAUUUCAUGCAGAAAAGUCUAAUUAUUUUGAGAUUUUUUUUGAUAAAGUCCUAAAUCUUUUUUUUAAUAGAAUAAACCUGAUUGUUUAAUAUUUUGCCCAAAUUAAGGAAAAAGUUUUUUUAAUUGGGAAAGACAGAUUAUAUGAUUUUCCCAAAAUAACGAGACUUUUUUGUUCAAAAAAAUAAAGAUUUAUGAAUUUAUCAAAAAAUAAUUCCAAAAUAAUGAGACUUUUUAGUAUAAAGCUCGGGAAAAUAUUUGUUCAUUUAAGUAUCACCACCCCAAAGGCACAAGUGUAAUACAAAAUUUAGGUCAAAAAUCUUGAGAUUUAAUGAUAUAUCAUGGCUUAUAUCCCUUAUCAACUAAUAUUAAUAUUCCUCUCGUCGAUGAUUUGCGAUCAAAAACUGGUUUGAAUACAUAUAAAAGGAUUCCCAUAUGUAGACGUGAUUGUGUGUUUGAUAAACAAAGUAUUUAUAACAUUAAGAAAAGAUAGACAAAAGCUAAGAAAACACAUAAAAAUAUCUUACAUAUAUUACCAUAUUUAUUGAUCAAAAAGUGGUUUGAAUACAUAUAAAAGACGUGACUCUAAAAGCUCUGUCUUCUCAAAACGUGUUGGCGUACCUUUCUACCGGUUCCCUGAGAAUACAAGUGGUUUUGAAAAUGUGUCAACAUUUAAUUUGGUGAGUUCAUCAGUAUAUUUUUUAGAUGGA